rnacentral:sRNA from 1 species
CAGCAACUGCUCCUUGCACUUCUCCAUCUCUUGCUCCAGAUGUCUGAUCCGAUCGCGAUAGCAUUUGCUAACACCUGAGUUUAAAAUGGU